rnacentral:rRNA from 1 species
UUUUGGACAAUGGGCGCAAGCCUGAUCCAGCCAUUCCGCGUGAGUGAAGAAGGCCUUCGGGUUGUAAAGCUCUUUCGCAAGGGAACCCCCACUUACUUUCUAAUAAAGAGUGAGGUUGACGGUACCUUGAUAAGAAGCACCGGCUAACUACGUGCCAGCAGCCGCGGUAAUACGUAGGGUGCGAGCGUUAAUCGGAAUUACUGGGCGUAAAGCGUGCGCAGGCGGCUUUGUAAGUCAGAUGUGAAAUCCCCGAGCUCAACUUGGGAACUGCCCCCGAAACUACAAGGCUAGAAUAUGUCAGAGGGGGGUAGAAUUCCACGUGUAGCAGUGAAAUGCGUAGAGAUGUGGAGGAAUACCAAUGGCGAAGGCAGCCCCCUGGGAUAAUAUUGACGCUCAUGCACGAA